AGGUGCGCGUGAUGCAACUUCCUGGAUGGUGUGUAGUCUGUUUAUCAACAUCUGAAACCCACAUAUUUUUGGGGGAGUAGUCUCCCCUUUUAAAGAUCCAAAAUGGCGGUUUUAACAAUGCAGUAUGCAGUCUGGUCAUCAAAGGAGAAUUUUUGACACCCAUAAUACCCAUAUUUCUACCAUUUACCUCUUCACCUUUGUCGAGUUCAUCAGAGAGUCAAUAGGCAACACUGAAGAUUCCACAUAUUGCUCUUCAGUCCAUGACAGAAAGUUGAGGAUUAAGGUUGACAGAACAUCCCACACUGUCCUCGGUACCAGCUUAUAAGGGAACCAACCGCAGUGAACAUACCAUGCUACAUCAUAGGAUGAUAGAGGUUCCUGGUCUUUAAAGAGAAACUCCAAACUUUGAUGACUGAUGGAAAAAGCCUCAUCCCCCAACUGCUAAAGAACCCAUAUCUUAAUCAUAGCCAUUAAUGAGCGAUCACUGUUAUCAAAGCUCCAAGGUGCACAUGAUGCAACUUCCUGGAUGGUGUGUAGGCUGUUUGUCAACAUGUGAAUCCCACGUGCAUAUCUGG